CCUUGGUGGGACUAGAACGGAGGGACUUUCCUCCUCAACGGGAAAGCGCGGGCUUCGCCAUAUUGUAGUAGCCGAAGCCGACCGGAAGUGCAUGAGCGCCAGAUAACCAAGCCAAUCCACAAAAAAACAAAAACAAAAAUGGCAGCUAGUGCAGGUACGUAUUCGUUUUUCUGCCUCCCGAAUGUGCCUCUCCAAAUAUUGUACGCUGCAACGUCAUGCUAGCCUUUUAUGUCAGAUAUCGUAUACCUGUUUCAACCGCAGGUUCUGCUAGCAUGACAAAUAAUGUCUGUAAACGUGUACGCUGCGUAAUUUCUUACGGGGAUGGAACGUCAAUGCUCAAAUUUUCAGUGCGUGUUACCGAUAUAUCUUGGUCUGUGCAAGAAGUUUAGGUAUUGUAAGCUACUCUGUCAUAUUGAAAAAUGCAUGAACGGUGAUCUGGGUUGAUAUGUGACCUCCAUUGAGCUCGGCGUUCUUCACUAAGCAGACACACAAACACAGGAAAAUGGGAGGCCUAGCUUAAAGGUGAUAGGUGCUGUCAUUGUUGUAGCAUAAAUUUUGAGUAAACGUAGGACACUUGGCGCCUAAAUAUUGUAUGGCGUGUAACGAACAUGACUGAUUGAACUCGUUUAUUGGUCUUGUCGUGACCUCCGCCUCACUGGUUCAUGAAGAGCACUUGUUUUGUCAUCUUGCGCAUGAUGUAGGCCUUCUGGGAUAUCUCUGUUAUCUUGCGGAACAGUUCGUGCAGCUUCAACAGCAGGAAUGAUCUUGAGCUUGAAUGAGCUUCCACAGCAUGAUCACUUUCACCAGUGAGAUGAUAUGUUCGGGCUCAGAGCUGUAGUUGUCCAAUAGAUGUUCUUGAUCUAUGUAGUGGACUUUAUGGUAGAGUUAUGCUACAUUGUUUAUGACAAUGUGAUUAACCAAAACAGAGUUCUCAUUCAUUUUGACUUGAAGGAAUUUCACCGCACGUAUAUGCAUGUAGAGACUGUGUUUUCAAAUCUGUUGCUUGCGCUCUCUCAUUUUCACAUUUUCUUAAAUCCUAAUUUCACCGGCUGUGGACACUGGAGUCAUCUGCUCAGGAAUGACAUGAAUAUGGCACCGUGCCUCGCAAACAGGUGAAAGCGCUUCAUCACCUUCAGAAGAAGGUGCACUUUACUGUGUGCUACAGUAAACAUUUAGUAACUGCAACAGCCAGUAUCCAGCACUUCUUGUUUGAGCAAAGCAGUAAUUCGACUAGUGGACUGCACUCAACACAAGAGUGAAUAUCCCUGUGCACCAUGGUGUGUUUGAGUUGACCAUAAGUUUCAGCUAAUGUAACGUUUGACUGAAAGAGCAUUCACUGUAUAAUGCUCGAAAUUGAGGUAUUGAUCUUGAACUUGCACGUUAGUUACACCUCAGUCAUAGCUAUUGCAUAUCUCUGACAUUAGUACUUUUCUGGAACUGUUACUUACUUGUACUAUGAUAAAAAUCUUGAUUAUUACUGCCUACUCCUGCCAGAGGUGACAAGAUGUAAUUAUGUAAGUAAGAAAACAAAUGUAAGUAAUUAUUUUCUUGACAGGCAUCGUGUGUGUACACGACCUCAUUCUUGCUCCAAGAUUGCUUUCAUCUGUCCUGUUGUUCAAAGGCCAUACCACUUUUUGCAUAUGAAAUAAAUUGUAAUGUACCACA